AAUACUCCAUAGGUCUAGGAGGCUGGAAUGCACUUAGGCUAAAAACUUUCGUGCCUUAGGAUGAAUCUGCGGACUAUCAGGUUGUAGUCAGGGUAAAGACCUGACUAGCCUAUGACGGAUACGGGUUGUGAGAGCAAUAACCCGGAGAUGAUAUCUGAGACACGAUAUCAGGCCCUACGGGGCGCAGCAGGCGCGAAAACUUCGCACUGCGCGAAAGCGCGACGAGGGAAUCCCAAGUGUAUGCACGCAAGUGUAUACUGUUUCUUUGUAUAAAAAGCAAAGAGAGUAAGAGCUGGGUAAGACGGGUGCCAGCCGCCGCGGUAAUACCUGCAGCUCGAGUGGUGAUCGUUAUUAUUGGGCCUAAAACGUCCGUAGCCGGUCUUGUAAAUGCCUAGGUAAAUCGUAUGGCU
rnacentral:rRNA from 1 species